GGUGGCUGAUUAUCAAUGCGCGCGCCAUCGAUGUUCUCUGACAACUCUUGGAACUUCGUAGCAACAUACAUGCGUUAUUGUGGUCGGUAAAUCUUACAGAAUCUGUAAGGUCGGUUGCAUAAUAGACAGUGAUGCAGCUAUGGCUGCUUCCUUGAUUAGAACGUGUACAGAAUUCAGCUCACUGAAGCAACCACUCUAUGAUAUUGUUAAAAGUAAAAAUGUAAGGAAAUAUAUCUCGCAGGGUUUAUUUCUAACAUGUGUUCAAUGUCAAUGUUACCACACAACACCACAAUACUUUAAGAAACAUAAGGAGAAUGUAGCAAAUAUAAAAAAGAAAAUAUUACCAGUAGUGGAUAUUUGGAAUGAAAUGACAGUACAAGAAUUAUCAAACUCAACUAAAAGGGACAUAAAUGACGUCAUUGAAGCAAUUUAUCUGUCUGACUCAUUUAAUCAUUACGAACAAGAUACUGCUAUAGUAGAUAAAAAGGUACUGCAAAACACUGUACGAAAACUUGGGGUAAAAUUUAAAAUAAUAACCAGACCAGAUAAAGAGGACAUGGAUACGAAGGAUCAUGAUGUCACCAAGCGGCCUCCACCAGAUAAAUCUGUCUUGGUAAAGCGUCAUCCAGUGGUGACGAUUAUGGGUCAUGUCGAUCAUGGCAAGACAACCUUACUAGAUACAUUACGUAACACAUCUGUUGUAGACACAGAAUUUGGUGGUAUCACUCAACAUAUUGGAGCCUUCAAUGUAACGUUGAAAACGGGAGAGAGAGUCACGUUUCUGGACACCCCUGGUCACGCUGCGUUUAACGUGAUGCGAAUGAGGGGUGCACAGGUGACAGACAUCGUUGUAUUAGUAGUCGCGGCGGACGACGGUGUGAUGGAACAAACAGUAGAGAGUAUAAAUAUGGCAAAGUCCGCGAAUGUCCCGAUCAUUGUGGCGAUUAAUAAGAUCGAUAAAUCCAACGCUAACAUCGCGAGGACGGAAAAUAUGCUGUCGCAAUUGGGCAUUCAUGUGGAGGCAUUAGGUGGGGAUAUUCAAAGCGUUCAUAUAUCAGCAUUACACGGGACCAACGUGAACACCUUGACUGAGGCUAUAGCGUUACAAGCCGAGCUGAUCGGACUGAAGGGUGAUCCGACGGGUUUGGUCGAAGCCGUCGUGAUCGAAUGUUCGACCGAACUUUACCGCGGCAAGUUGUCGACGAUUUUAAUUCAGCGCGGUACUCUGAGGAAGGGUGCAUGUCUUGUGUGUGGGCGAACAUGGGCUAAGGUAAGAUCCAUAUUUGAUCAUUCCGGGAACCCAGUCACAGAGGCUAAACUAUCCGAAGCAGUGCAAAUAAUGGGUUGGAAGGAUUUACCUUCUGCCGGAGAGGUGAUAUUAGAAGUCGAGAAUGAGAAGAAAGCGCGCAUGGUGACACGCUAUAGAGAGAUGGAACAAGCUAAGCUCUUGGCGCAAGAGCAUCAAAUUGCGGCGGAGAAGAAGCACGAAAAAUACUUGAUAGAGUAUAAGAAGCAUUUGGAAUUUAGAAGAUCAAACAAAAAAUAUUUCAAGAUAUCACUGCCAAUUACUAAAGAUGAGACGAACAAUGAGCUGCCUAAACUUAACGUUAUCAUAAAGGGCGACGUUGCCGGCUCCGUGGAAGCUAUAUUAGACGUUCUCAACACUUACGGGAGCGACGACAAAUGUCAGUUAAACGUUGUUCAUUACGACGUUGGACCAGUCAUAGAAACAGAUUUACAUAUAGCAGAAACGUUCGGUGCCGUUAUAUAUCACUUUAACGUGGGUAUAAUGAAGAAUUUGCAAGAGGAAGCCGAGAAGAAACAAUUAUCAGUCCGCGCAUACAACGUAAUCUACAAGCUCGUCGAUGACAUCAAGAAGGAAAUAAAUAAUAGGCUGCCGCUGGUCGAUGUCGAGAAAGUGAUAGGUGAAGCGAAUGUAUUGCAAGAGUUCGAGAUCACAGAAAAAAAGAAGAAACUUAAAGUCGCAGGUUGCCGAUGCGUCAAAGGCAAUCUCAAGAAAACCGCGAUGUACCGUUUGAUGCGUGGAGAGGAGACCAUCUACACCGGAAAAUUGACGUCGAUGAGGCAUAUGAAGAAUGAAACAAAUACGAUCAAGACCAAUAUAGAAUGUGGCUUGAAGCUCGAUGAUGAUACGAUAUCCUACAAACCUGGAGACGUUCUGAUUUGUUAUCAGAUAAUCCAGGAGCCGCAACAGACUGACUGGGAUCCCGGAUUCUAGAGCUAAAUCAAGUAAAACCGCGCGAUAUACCCUAGCCGUCGUUCUUCAGUCCACAUAAGGUUAUAGACUGUGGUAUACAGAAAAAAAACGAUAUGCAGAAUCACACGGACGACAUUAGGACGCAUAAGUCUCGCGAAAUCGUCGCUGAAGAUGCUGAUAUGCUGAGAGAACGCCGCGCUUCUUCUUCUGCAGGCGGCACGGAGUCGUCGUUUCCUGGCAAUCGCCGGCUGCGAUGAUCUUCGUGUCCAACGGCUCGACAGCAACGUCGUCGUCUGGAUGUAUGAAGAACGCGAUGGAGUGACGUCCACGACCACAGUGUUCCGGCAUGACCACGCGAUGUCUCAACGCUGGCAACUGUCCGUUGGUCCAAUGUGCAAGAAGCUCGCCUGUAUUCACCAGUAUGGCGCCCGGAAGAUGGCCCACUCUACCCCAUCGUUCUCCGUGCAGAGUCUGUAUUUCGAGACCACCUUCGCAGUCCUGAAAACGUUUGAUUGUGUAAUUUACACAAAUCUGUAUAUAUGCUAUACAUACGUAUAAUACAGUCUAGAUUUUUUUUACUGA